ACGAUUGAUAUUAUGGGCCUUAGACCUAUU
rnacentral:sRNA from 1 species